rnacentral:tRNA from 1 species
GCUACCGUGUUGCAAUUGGCGAGACACAGUUGCCUUAAAAGCAACCGUCCGAGAGGAAUUGAGGGAUCAUACCCCUCCGGUAGCA